rnacentral:lncRNA from 1 species
GCAGCGCACCCUGCCCGGGGGGGACUGAGGAAGACGGCUGUGCUCUCAGGUGUCUGUGGGCGAGUUUAGGGCUCCAGUGCCAUGAUGUUUAUAAGAAACUCUCAGAUGCCUCAGUUGGAGGGGGGCAAUGUAGCAAAAUGGUCACAAUUUUGGUAUUUUUGGCAAAUGGUUGUAAUUUCGGGGAGAAGGUGUUGUUCAUUCUGAUCUAUGCAGUUUCCUGUGGUGUUGAAGAUUUUCUAAAUAAAAAGGUGGGGGCUGGGCACGGUGGCUCACGCCUGUAAUCCCAGCACUUUGGGAGGCCGAGGCGGGUGGAUCACCUGAGGUCAGGAGUUCGAGACCAGCCUGACCAACAUGGUGAAACCCUGUCUCUGCUAAAAAUACAAAAAAUUAGCCGCGCGUGGUGGCGUGUGCCUGUGGUCCCAGCUACUCGGGAGGCUGAGGCAGGAGAAUCACUUGAACCUGGAAGGUGGAGGUUGCUGUGAGCUCAGAUCGCACCACUGCACUCCAGCCUGGGCAACAGAGUGAGACUCCGUCUUGAAAAAAAAUAAAAAAUAAAAAGUUGGGGAGAGAAGAGGACUUCUUCCUCUUGCCCUCAGCCACGUGCGUGGCAGGAGCUGGGGCGGGUGGAGGCUAAGCACGUGUAGCAGGUUCAGGAGGGAACCAGGUGGAGCGUGGAGCUGGCACUGGACACGUCCAUCUUUCACUGGACCAUUGUCAGAUGUGGCCGCCCGCCCCAGACCUGCAUGCUCCACUGUUCCUCACACUCAGGGCCAGCAAGUCCAAGUUCCAGCCUCUAAGGGAGAUGCCAGCACCUUUCUAAAAAGUACACGUGGGUGCUUCACACCAGAGAGCCACACUCGGAAGAUGACCCUGGAAGCAAAAGCUGGAACCCAGGGUGAAGGCCGUGCCCCAACAGCGAGGACAAGCUGUCC